GUAACACGUGGACAACCUGCCCUUGGGACCUGCAUAACCCCGGGAAACUGGGGAUAAUUCGGGAUAACGCAUAUGUGCUGGAAUGCUUUAUGCGUAAAAAGGAUUCGUCCGCCCAAGGAUGGGUCUGCGGCCUAUCAGGUAGUAGUGGGUGUAAUGUACCUACUAGCCGACAACGGGUACGGGUUGUGAGAGCAAGAGCCCGGAGAUGGAUUCUGAGACAUGAAUCCAGGCCCUACGGGGCGCAGCAGGCGCGAAAACUUUACAAUGCGGGAAACCGUGAUAAGGGGACACCGAGUGUCAGCAUCAUAUGCUGGCUGUCCAGGUGUGUAAAAUACACCUGUUAGCAAGGGCCGGGCAAGACCGGUGCCAGCCGCCGCGGUAACACCGGCGGCCCGAGUGGUGAUCGUGAUUAUUGGGUCUAAAGGGUCCGUAGCCGGUUUGGUCAGUCCUCCGGGAAAUCUGAUAGCUCAACUAUUAGGCUAUCGGGGGAUACUACCAGA
rnacentral:rRNA from 1 species